rnacentral:lncRNA from 1 species
CGAGCUCCUGCCUCCUGGUUGUGUGGGUGUGUUGCCUUAUGCAAGGCGCUCUGACUUCCCCCAACAUUCUAAUUUCCUCACAUCCACAGUGGGGAGAGGCCCAGAGCCAGUAAGGGCUUUACUGGUGGGUGAUACAGCUGUCCUUCCACUGAUGGAUAACUUGCCGUGUCCCCUCCUGGUGACCACAGGGAGACCCCGGAGAUGGAUAGUUUGAAUCAAAGGAAGUCCCUCCCACGGUGUGACCAUCACCUUUCUAGGUGUUCUUUUGAUACACGAAGGGGGUCAAUCCAGGGUGGCUUGUUGUCCUCUGCACCUUAGAAAGUGAAAUUUCGUAGACCCUAAGCAGCAAGGGAUCCUCAGGCUGGCUAUCCUGAGGCCAGAUGGAGGAGAGAGCAACCUGGAGGGAACGUCUACAUGUAAGGACCGGAGACUGUGAGGAUGAGCAUGUACCUGGGGUGGGCAGACCGAGAAUCCUGCGGAGCGAUCCGUGCGCGGGUGUGUGUGUGUGGUGUGUGUGUGCGUGUGUGUGUGUGUGUGUGUGUGUGUGUGUGUGUGUGUGUGUGUGUUACAGGUAGAGGGUGGGGAGCAUGAACCCAAAGGGAUUUCUGGACCUGGAUGCCUGUUUUCUCCUUGGGGCUUAGGGUUACAACCAAGCCUGGCGUGGGUUGCCCUCUCUUCUCCCCUGGCGGUUGCCUGGGAGAGCGGGUGUGUCCAGCACCUACUCUGCGCAGUAGCAGGUGAAGGUCCUGUAGACAGCCCUUCCUUGAGAGAGCAGAGAGGGCCCCAGGGAAGCAGAAGUACUCAGCUGGAGGCCCCGGGUCUGGGAGGAGAGGUCAGGUGGACUGUCAGAGGAAAGCAUGUAGGAUACAGUCCCUGGAGGUCCAGGAUUUGGGGGCCUCCGAGGUUCUUGACAGCUGUGACCCUUUGGGCUGGGAUGAUCCUGACAGAACAUCAGGUUCCCCAGCUCUGUCCCCUCUACAGUCUCUCCAGAAGAAGGGUCUGGGGGAAUCCGCCUUGCCCUGACUUCCCAUAAUAUUCAAACCAGAGUUCUUCGCAGUUCCUGGAGAGACCUACUCCCCCUACCCCAGAACAUGGGGCUCAAGGUCAGUGGUAGCCACUCUCCCCCCACCCCCCGCCCCAGGCCUUGCCCUUUAUGUAUUGAGCUUCCUG